rnacentral:rRNA from 1 species
GACGAACGCUGGCGGCGUGCUUAACACAUGCAAGUCGAACGGAAAGGCCCUGCUUUUGUGGGGUGCUCGAGUGGCGAACGGGUGAGUAACACGUGAGUAACCUGCCCUUGACUUUGGGAUAACUUCAGGAAACUGGGGCUAAUACCGGAUAGGAGCUCCUGCUGCAUGGUGGGGGUUGGAAAGUUUCGGCGGUUGGGGAUGGACUCGCGGCUUAUCAGCUUGUUGGCGGGGUAGUGGCUUACCAAGGCUUUGACGGGUAGCCGGCCUGAGAGGGUGACCGGCCACAUUGGGACUGAGAUACGGCCCAGACUCCUACGGGAGGCAGCAGUUGGGAAUAUUGCACAAUGGGCGGAAGCCUGAUGCAGCAACGCCGCGUGCGGGAUGACGGCCUUCGGGUUGUAAACCGCUUUCGCCUGUGACGAAGCGUGAGUGACGGUAAUGGGUAAAGAAGCACCGGCUAACUACGUG